rnacentral:rRNA from 1 species
UACAGAGGUGGCAAGCGUUGUUCGGAAUUACUGGGCGUAAAGGGCGCGUAGGCGGCCCACUAAGUCAGACGUGAAAUCCCCCGGCCUAACCUGGGAACUGCGUCUGAUACUGGAGGGCUUGAGUAUGGGAGAGGGAUGUAGAAUUCCAGGUGUAGCGGUGAAAUGCGUAGAUAUCUGGAGGAAUACCGGUGGCGAAGGCGGCAUCCUGGACCAUUACUGACGCUGAGGCGCGAAAGCUAGGGGAGCAAACGGG